rnacentral:sRNA from 1 species
CCUGGGUAUCUCAACCUUGGGUAAUGGCUACUCUCACUUUUCCAUUUGGGGGGCAAAGAGCUUUGUUGCACGGGGAGGACAAACAGGAACAAUUGCGCUGUGUGAAGCAAUAAGGAUCCCUUUUUGCAAAGAGUUUACAAAAGGACAGAUCUAAUGGUUCUCAUGACAAUUUGUCUUGCCUAGCCUCUAUUUCCUAAAUCAGAUGGCGGUGGGGGGGCGCACAAGGUCUCAUUCUGUACCCUUGGUUGACCUAGAACUUGGUAUGCAGAGCAGAACGGCCUCAAACUUACAGAGAUCCACCCACUUCUGCCUUCUGUAAUCUGGGGUUAAAGGCAUGCAUACAGCACCCAGACUUUUUGGCUUGGUUAAACAGUCUGCUGCCAUAGACUAAGACGCAUCUCUGAUACAUCUGUUUCUCUCUUACUGCCACACCCCACUCAGCAACACUAAACGUUCUUGUUCUCUGUCCCCCACACCAUGCUAUUAAAAGAUACUUCGGAAACCUCCAUCUUAAGCCCAAGCCAACAUUUGUUUUCCCUUCGAACUGGAGUUUCUACAUUUAACCAAGAACAUUUAGUGACUCCAGAAAAACAGCGCUACACAAAGGUCGACUAUACUUCAGACUCCUGCAAGGUUUAAGAGAUACUC